rnacentral:rRNA from 1 species
GAUGAACGCUGGCGGCGUGCCUAAUACAUGCAAGUCGAGCGAACAGACGAGGAGCUUGCUCCUCUGACGUUAGCGGCGGACGGGUGAGUAACACGUGGAUAACCUACCUAUAAGACUGGGAUAACUUCGGGGAACCGGAGCUAAUACCGGAUAAUAUAUUGAACCGCAUGGUUCAAUAGUGAAAGACGGUUUUGCUGUCACUUAUAGCUGGAUCCGCGUCGGAUUAGCUAGUUGGUAAGGUAACGGCUUACCAAGGCAACGAUCCGUAGCCGACCUGAGAGGAUGAUCGGCCACACUGGAACUGAGACACGGUCCAGACUCCUACGGGAGGCAGCAGUGGGGAAUCUUCGACAAUGGGCGAAAGCCUGACGCAGCAAGACCGCGUGGGUGAAGAAGGUCUUCGGGUUGUAAAGCUCUUUUGUUGGGAAAGAAAAGCAGUAGAUUAAAAUACCGCCGUUUUGACGGUACCUAAAGAAAAAGCACCGGCUAACUACGUG